rnacentral:rRNA from 1 species
CAAUAGCGUAUAUUAAAGUUGUUGCGGUUAAAAAGCUCGUAGUUGGAUCUCGGCAGGCAGGGGGUGGUUCGCUCUUAGCGCUACUGCCCCAUUUGCCUGUGUGAUUGGCGGAGGUUUCGGGGUGCUCUUCGUUGAGUGACCCGGGGCGCCGUCAGGUUUACUUUGAAAAAAUUAGAGUGCUCAAAGCAGGCUUUUCACGCUUGAAUAUUCGUGCAUGGAAUAAUGGAAUAGGAACUCGUUUCUAUUUUGUUGGUUUUCGGAAAUCGAGUUAAUGAUUAAUAGGGACAAUUGGGGGCAUUAGUAUUCAGACGACAGAGGUGAAAUUCUUGGACCGUCUGAAGACUAACUACUGCGAAAGCAUUUGCCAAGAGUGUUUUCAUUGA